AUUUUUAACAAGGGAUACCUUGGUUUGCAUCGAUGAAGGACGCAGC
rnacentral:rRNA from 1 species